GAUUAUGUUGCCCUAUGUCAAGCUAAGCAGAUGUCAUUGGUAUGGUGACUGGUAUUUUGCCUAUUGUCAACAUUGGUGCUAAAGGUCGUCCAGUGCCAAAGAGAACUUGAUGACUCAGUGAUAGAAGGUUCACAUUGCUUUCCUCUAUGCUGUUCACGAUGUGCAAGAUGUGUUGCAGUCGGCGAGGCGAAGCUC